rnacentral:rRNA from 1 species
GGUUGUCGUCAGCUCGUGUCGUGAGAUGUUGGGUUAAGUCCGCAACGAGCGCAACCUUGUGUUUAGUUGCCAACAGGUUAAGCUGUGCACUCUAAACAGACUGCCGUGGAUAACACGGAGGAAGGUGGGGAUGACGUCAAAUCAUCAUGCCCCUUAUGAUCUGGGCUACACACGUGCUACAAUGGUCGGUACAACGGGCAGCGAAAGAGUAAUCUGGAGCGAAUCCUAAAAAGCCGAUCCCAGUUCGGAUUGUGGGCUGAAACUCGCCCACAUGAAGUUGGAGUUGCUAGUAAUCGCGAAUCAGAAUGUCGCGGUGAAUGCGUUCCCGGGUCUU